CACUCCUGCGGGAGGCAGCAGUGGGGAAUAUUGGACAAUGGGCGCAAGCCUGAUCCAGCCAUGCCGCGUGAGUGAUGAAGGCCCUAGGGUUGUAAAGCUCUUUCACCGGUGAAGAUAAUGACGGUAACCGGAGAAGAAGCCCCGGCUAACUUCGUGCCAGCAGCCGCGGUAAUACGAAGGGGGCUAGCGUUGUUCGGAUUUACUGGGCGUAAAGCGCACGUAGGCGGACUAUUAAGUCAGGGGUGAAAUCCCGGGGCUCAACCCCGGAACUGCCUUUGAUACUGGUAGUCUUGAGUUCGAGAGAGGUGAGUGGAAUUCCGAGUGUAGAGGUGAAAUUCGUAGAUAUUCGGAGGAACACCAGUGGCGAAGGCGGCUCACUGGCUCGAUACUGACGCUGAGGUGCGAAAGCGUGGGGAGCAAACAGGAUUAGAAACCCGAGUAGUCCCAUGAU
rnacentral:rRNA from 1 species